GAUGAACGCUGGCGGCGUGCCUAAUACAUGCAAGUCGAGCGAACGGACGAGAAGCUUGCUUUUCUGAUGUUAGCGGCGGACGGGUGAGUAACACGUGGAUAACCUACCUAUAAGACUGGGAUAACUUCGGGAAACCGGAGCUAAUACCGGAUAAUAUUUUGAACCGCAUGGUUCAAAAGUGAAAGACGGUCUUGCUGUCACUUAUAGAUGGAUCCGCGCUGCAUUAGCUAGUUGGUAAGGUAACGGCUUACCAAGGCAACGAUGCAUAGCCGACCUGAGAGGGUGAUCGGCCACACUGGAACUGAGACACGGUCCAGACUCCUACGGGAGGCAGCAGUAGGGAAUCUUCCGCAAUGGGCGAAAGCCUGACGGAGCAACGCCGCGUGAGUGAUGAAGGUCUUCGGAUCGUAAAACUCUGUUAUUAGGGAAGAACAUAUGUGUAAGUAACUGUGCACAUCUUGACGGUACCUAAUCAGAAAGCCACGGCUAACUACCUGCCAGCAGCCCCGGUAAUACGUAGGUGGCAAGCGUUAUCCGGAAUUAUUGGGCGUAAAAGCGCGCGUAGGCGGUUUUUUAAGUCUGAUGUGAAAGCCCACGGCUCUACCGUGGAGGGUCAUUGGAAACUGGAAAACUUGAGUGCAGAAGAGGAAAGUGGAAUUCCAUGUGUAGCGGUGAAAUGCGCAGAGAUGUGGAGGAACACCAGUGGCGAAGGCGACUUUCUGGUCUGUAACUGACGCUGAUGUGCGAAAGCGUGGGGAUCAAACAGGAUUAGAUACCCUGGUAGUCCACGCCGUAAACGAUGAGUGCUAAGUGUUAGGGGGUUUCCGCCCCUUAGUGCUGCAGCUAACGCAUUAAGCACUCCGCCUGGGGAGUACGACCGCAAGGUUGAAACUCAAAGGAAUUGACGGGGGCCCGCACAAGCGGUGGAGCAUGUGGUUUAAUUCGAAGCAACGCGAAGAACCUUACCAAAUCUUGACAUCCUUUGACAACUCUAGAGAUAGAGCCUUCCCCUUCGGGGGACAAAGUGACAGGUGGUGCAUGGUUGUCGUCAGCUCGUGUCGUGAGAUGUUGGGUUAAGUCCCGCAACGAGCGCAACCCUUAAGCUUAGUUGCCAUCAUUAAGUUGGGCACUCUAAGUUGACUGCCGGUGACAAACCGGAGGAAGGUGGGGAUGACGUCAAAUCAUCAUGCCCCUUAUGAUUUGGGCUACACACGUGCUACAAUGGACAAUACAAAGGGCAGCGAAACCGCGAGGUCAAGCAAAUCCCAUAAAGUUGUUCUCAGUUCGGAUUGUAGUCUGCAACUCGACUACAUGAAGCUGGAAUCGCUAGUAAUCGUAGAUCAGCAUGCUACGGUGAAUACGUUCCCGGGUCU
rnacentral:rRNA from 1 species